GAUGAACGCUGGCGGCGUGCCUAAUACAUGCAAGUCGAGCGAACAGAUGAGGAGCUUGCUCCUCUGAUGUUAGCGGCGGACGGGUGAGUAACACGUGGAUAACCUACCUAUAAGACUGGGAUAACUUCGGGAAACCGGAGCUAAUACCGGAUAAUAUAUUGAACCGCAUGGUUCAAUAGUGAAAGACGGUCUUGCUGUCACUUAUAGAUGGAUCCGCGCCGCAUUAGCUAGUUGGUAAGGUAACGGCUUACCAAGGCAACGAUGCGUAGCCGACCUGAGAGGGUGAUCGGCCACACUGGAACUGAGACACGGUCCAGACUCCUACGGGAGGCAGCAGUAGGGAAUCUUCCGCAAUGGGCGAAAGCCUGACGGAGCAACGCCGCGUGAGUGAUGAAGGUCUUCGGAUCGUAAAACUCUGUUAUUAGGGAAGAACAAAUGUGUAAGUAACUAUGCACGUCUUGACGGUACCUAAUCAGAAAGCCACGGCUAACUACGUG
rnacentral:rRNA from 1 species